AGCAAAGAUAAUGAACACUGAUCUUAUUCACAUAAUAAUCCAAGAUUAAUUAUAAAGAUUAGAUUGUAUGUUUCUAUUUAUUUCACUGACAUGGACUGUCAAAAUUCUCUUCUUUUCAGUGUGUUUGAAAAAUGGAGCAAUUGGAUGAUUUGGAGUUGGAGGAUGAUCUUCAGGACACAGAUAAACUUCUGCAGAAUUUACAUAAUGAGGCAGAGGCACAGAGGAAAGAAAACCCAGCGCCGGUCAAAUGGAGGAAGAGAGAUGGGCAAGGAAAUCGUAUUCCUCAAAGGCCAUUUAGGAAAAAGCCACCUGCACACCGCGGCCCCGCAAAGCGACAGAAGUGUCCAGGGACAGUGCAUUCCCAAUGUGAUGUACCAACUGAUGUCAGU